ACGGGAGGCAGCAGUAGGGAAUAUUGGACAAUGGGGGAAACCCUGAUCCAGCGACGCCGCGUGAGUGAAGAAAUAUUUCGGUAUGUAAAGCUCUAUCAGCAGGGAAGAAAAUGACGGUACCUGACUAAGAAGCACCGGCUAAAUACGUGCCAGCAGCCGCGGUAAUACGUAUGGUGCAAGCGUUAUCCGGAUUUACUGGGUGUAAAGGGAGCGUAGGCGGCAUGGCAAGUCAGAUGUGAAAGCCCGGGGCCCAACCCCGGAACUGCAUUUGAAACUGUCAGGCUAGAGUGCCGGAGAGGUAAGCGGAAUUCCUAGUGUAGCGGUGAAAUGCGUAGAUAUUAGGAGGAACACCAGUGGCGAAGGCGGCUUACUGGACGGUAACUGACGCUGAGGCUCGAAAGCGUGGGGAGCAAACAGGAUUAGAUACCCUGGUA
rnacentral:rRNA from 1 species